AGCUUUGCGCAGUGGCAGUAUCGUAGCCAAUGAGGUUUAUCUAAGGCGUGAUUAUUGCUAAUUAAAUAAAAUUAAAUUGAAAAUCAGGCGCUUCUGGCUGGUUCAGUCAAUAGAGCAUGGGACUCUUGAUCUAGG
ensembl:snRNA U4 U4 spliceosomal RNA